rnacentral:lncRNA from 1 species
CGCCCUUCUAGAGGUCGGCGAAGUGGACGCCACCCGGGAGGCUGGUCGCAGGUCGUUCCCUUCGCCGGACACUUGUUUCCGGUUCAGGGCCCUCACGAACGCUGCUUCAGUGCCUGGCGGGCAGGUGUUUGUGGGUACCGGCUUGGGCCUUUGGCAGGUGGUAGGGAGAAGGGAGAUGAAGGCUCAGCGCACUUCUGCCUCUGCGCACGCACUUUGUGGUGGGUUCUGUCCCCACCUGGGGCUGUUUCUUUCCCAAGAGGAAAGCGAUUGCACAUCAGAGGUUCUAGUUAACUGAAGGAAAUCCUCCCAGAACUGGUCAUGCUAGCCAGCCUACCUGUUCUAGUUAACUUGUGAAAGUUUCGAUUUUUGGAAAUGCUAAAGAUUAGCAGCUCAGUUGGUAGAGCGCUUGCCUCGCAUGCACAAGGAAGGCCCUAGGUUCAAUCCCCAGCACCACACACACAAAGCCGUGGUACGGGCCUGUGAUCCCAGCGACUCCGGAGGCUGAGGCUGUGGCAAGUUCAAGGCCAGCCUCAGCAACCUGGGGAGACUAUCUCAAGAUAAAGAAAAGGACUGGAGAUGUGUAGUUCAGUGGCAGAGGAGACCUAACAAUUUUCAGUUAAAUUCUCGAAGCCUAACUGUAUAAAUGACAGAACAAGAUGCCUGGGACGGAACUGGAAUGUAAUAUAAAAUGCACCCAAAC